rnacentral:rRNA from 1 species
AGGUAGUUGGUGAGGUAACGGCCCACCAAGCCGACGAUCGGUAGCCGACCUGAGAGGGUGAUCGGCCACAUUGGGACUGAGACACGGCCCAAACUCCUACGGGAGGCAGCAGUGGGAAUAUUGGGCAAUGGAGGAAACUCUGACCCAGCAACGCCGCGUGGAGGAAGAAGGUUUUCGGAUCGUAAACUCCUGUCCUUGGAGACGAGUAGAAGACGGUAUCCAAGGAGGAAGCCCCGGCUAACUACGUGCCAGCAGCCGCGGUAAUACGUAGGGGGCAAGCGUUGUCCGGAAUAAUUGGGCGUAAAGGGCGCGUAGGCGGCUCGGUAAGUCUGGAGUGAAAGUCCUGCUUUUAAGGCGGGAAUUGCUUUGGAUACUGUCGGGCUUGAGUGCAGGAGAGGUUAGUGGAAUUCCCAGUGUAGCGGUGAAAUGCGUAGAGAUUGGGAGGAACACCAGUGGCGAAGGCGACUAACUGGACUGUAACUGACGCUGAGGCGCGAAAGUGUGGGGAGCAAACAGGAUUAGAUACCCUGGUAGUCCACACUGUAAACGAUGAAUGCUAGGUGUAGGGGGUAUCGACCCCUUCUGUGCCGCAGUCAACACAAUAAGCAUUCCGCCUGGGGAGUACGGCCGCAAGGUUGAAACUCAAAGGAAUUGACGGGGGCCCGCACAAGCAGCGGAGCAUGUGGUUUAAUUCGACGCAACGCGAAGAACCUUACCAGGUCUUGACAUCCACUUAAACUUACAGAGAUGUAAGGUGUGCUUGCACAAAGUGAGACAGGUGGUGCAUGGUUGUCGUCAGCUCGUGUCGUGAGAUGUUGGGUUAAGUCCCGCAACGAGCGCAACCCUUAUCUUCAGUUACUAACGCGUGAGGGUGAGGACUCUGAAGAGACUGCCGGGGACAACUCGGAGGAAGGUGGGGACGACGUCAAAUCAUCAUGCCCCUUAUGACCUGGGCUACACACGUGCUACAAUGGCCACGACAGAGAGAAGCGAAAUCGCAAGGCAGAGCGGAACUCAAAAAAGUGGUCCCAGUUCGGAUUGUGGGCUGCAACCCGCCCACAUGAAGUCGGAGUUGCUAGUAAUCGCGGAUCAGCAUGCCGCGGUGAAUACGUUCCCGGGCCUUGUACACACCGCCCGUCACACCAUGGGAGUUGGGAGUGCCCAAAGCCGGUGAGGCAACCGCAAGGAGCCAGCCGUCUAAGGCAAGACCAAUGACUGGGGUGAAGUCGAAGCAAGGUAGCCGUAUCGGAAGGUGCGGCUG